rnacentral:rRNA from 1 species
CCAGCACCCGCGGUAAUUCCAGCUCCAAUAGCGUAUGUUAAAGUUGUUGCAGUUAAAAAGCUCGCAGUUGGAUUUGUGGGGCUCUCUGUGGUCCAAUUUUGGCACUUUCGGAGAGCUCCAUCCUUGGGUGGAUCCUGUGUGGCAUUGGGUUGUCGUGCAGGGGAUGCCCAUCGUUCACUGUGAAAAAAUUGGAGUGUUCAAAGCAGGCUUACGCCGUUGAAUACAUUAGCAUGGAAUGAUGAGAUAGGACCUUGGUACUAUUUUGUUGGUUUGCGCACCGAGGUAAUGAUUAAUAGGGACAGUUGUAGGUAUUCGUGUUCCAUUGUCAGAGGUGAAAUUCUUGGAUUUCUGGAAGACGAACCAAUGCGAAAGCAUUCACCAAGGAUGUUUUCAUUAAUCA